rnacentral:rRNA from 1 species
UUUGAUCCAUGCUCAGAUUGAACGCUGGCGGCAGGCCUAACACAUGCAAGUCGAGCGGUAGCACAGAGAGCUUGCUCUCGGGUGACGAGCGGCGGACGGGUGAGUAAUGUCUGGGAAACUGCCUGAUGGAGGGGGAUAACUACUGGAAACGGUAGCUAAUACCGCAUAAUGUCGCAAGACCAAAGUGGGGGACCUUCGGGCCUCAUGCCAUCAGAUGUGCCCAGAUGGGAUUAGCUAGUAGGUGGGGUAACGGCUCACCUAGGCGACGAUCCCUAGCUGGUCUGAGAGGAUGACCAGCCACACUGGAACUGAGACACGGUCCAGACUCCUACGGGAGGCAGCAGUGGGGAAUAUUGCACAAUGGGCGCAAGCCUGAUGCAGCCAUGCCGCGUGUGUGAAGAAGGCCUUCGGGUUGUAAAGCACUUUCAGCGGGGAGGAAGGCGAUAAGGUUAAUAACCUUGUCGAUUGACGUACCCGCAGAAGAAGCACC